rnacentral:tRNA from 1 species
GUGUGUUUAGCUCAGUGUUAAAAGAGCAUCUCUCAUGAAUGUAGAAGGUCGUGGGUUCAUUCAAAUCCCACAACACACA